AGUGAACGCUGGCGGUAGGCCUAACACAUGCAAGUCGAACGGCAGCACAGGAGAGCUUGCUCUCUGGGUGGCGAGUGGCGGACGGGUGAGGAAUACAUCGGAAUCUACUUUUUCGUGGGGGAUAACGUAGGGAAACUUACGCCAAUACCGCAUACGACCUACGGGUGAAAGCAGGGGACUUUCGGCCCUAGCGCGGUUGAAUGAGCCGAUGUCGGGUUAGCUAGUUGGCGGGGUAAAGGCCCACCAAGGCGACGAUCCGUAGCUGGUCUGAGAGGAUGAUCAGCCACACUGGAACUGAGACACGGUCCAGACUCCUACGGGAGGCAGCAGUGGGGAAUAUUGGACAAUGGGCGCAAGCCUGAUCCAGCCAUACCGCGUGGGUGAAGAAGGCCUUCGGGUUGUAAAGCCCUUUUGUUGGGAAAGAAAUCCAGCUGGCUAAUACCCGGUUGGGAUGACGGUACCCAAAGAAUAAGCACCGGCUAACUUCGUGCCAGCAGCCGCCGUAA
rnacentral:rRNA from 1 species